rnacentral:rRNA from 1 species
UACGUAGGUGGCUAGCGUUACUCGGAAUCACUGGGCAUAAAGGGCGUGUAGGCGGACGCGUAAGUCCGGUGUGAAAUCCCCCGGCUCAACCGGGGACGGCCAUUGGAUACUGCGUGUCUCGAGUGCGGGAGGGGAGAGUGGAACUCUUGGUGGAGCGGUGAAAUGCGUAGAUAUCAAGAGGAACGCCGGUGGCGAAAGCGGCUCUCUGGCCCGUUACUGACGCUGAGGCGCGAAAGCUAGGGGAGCAAACGGG